CAAAGAGUAGUCCAAUUUAGGAUGCUGGCUUUGGGAGCCAGUGGUGGGAGUUAAAAUCUCCUCUCUUUGA
rnacentral:tRNA from 1 species